ACUUUCAUGGUGUAGUGGUCAGCACACUCGGCGCGUAUUCGAGAGGUCCGUGGUUCGAGUCCCGGCGAGGGCA
rnacentral:tRNA from 1 species